GUGACGUACGGAUUAUUGGGCGUAAGAGCUCGUAGGCGGUUUGUCGCGUCUGCCGUGAAAGUCCGGGGCUCAACUCCGGAUCUGCGGUGGGUACGGGCAGACUAGAGUGAUGUAGGGGAGACUGGAAUUCCUGGUGUAGCGGUGAAAUGCGCAGAUAUCAGGAGGAACACCGAUGGCGAAGGCAGGUCUCUGGGCAUUAACUGACGCUGAGGAGCGAAAGCAUGGGGAGCGAACAGGAUUAGAUACCCUGGUAGUCCAUGCCGUAAACGUUGGGCACUAGGUGUGGGGGACAUUCCACGUUUUCCGCGCCGUAGCUAACGCAUUAAGUGCCCCGCCUGGGGAGUACGGCCGCAAGGCUAAAACUCAAAGGAAUUGACGGGGGCCCGCACAAGCGGCGGAGCAUGCGGAUUAAUUCGAUGCAACGCGAAGAACCUUACCAAGGCUUGACAUGAACCGGUAAGACCUGGAAACAGGUCCCCCACUUGUGGCCGGUUUACAGGUGGUGCAUGGUUGUCGUCAGCUCGUGUCGUGAGAUGUUGGGUUAAGUCCCGCAACGAGCGCAACCCUCGUUCCAUGUUGCCAGCGCGUUAUGGCGGGGACUCAUGGGAGACUGCCGGGGUCAACUCGGAGGAAGGUGGGGACGACGUCAAAUCAUCAUGCCCCUUAUGUCUUGGGCUUCACGCAUGCUACAAUGGCCGGUACAAAGGGUUGCGAUACUGUGAGGUGGAGCUAAUCCCAAAAAGCCGGUCUCAGUUCGGAUUGGGGUCUGCAACUCGACCCCAUGAAGUCGGAGUCGCUAGUAAUCGCAGAUCAGCAACGCUGCGGUGAAUACGUUCCCGGGCCUUGUACACACCGCCCGUCAAGUCACGAAAGUUGGUAACACCCGAAGCCGGUGGGCCUAACCCUUGUGG
rnacentral:rRNA from 1 species